rnacentral:rRNA from 1 species
GUCCUAGCCGUAAACGUUGGGUGCUAGGUGUGGGCGGAUAUCGACCCCGUCUGUGCCGAAGCUAACGCAUUAAGCACCCCGCCUGGGGAGUACGGCCGCAAGGCUAAAACUCAAAGGAAUUGACGGGGGCCCGCACAAGCGGCGGAGCAUGUGGCUUAAUUCGAUGCGACGCGAAGAACCUUACCUGGGCUUGACAUGCGGGGUGAAGCCGGUGAAAGCCGGCGCUCUACGGAGCCCGCACAGGUGGUGCAUGGCUGUCGU